UACGUAGGGUGCGAGCGUUAAUCGGAAUUACUGGGCGUAAAGCGUGCGCAGGCGGUUCUGUAAGACCGGUGUGAAAUCCCCGGGCUUAACCUGGGAACUGCAUUGGUGACUGCAGAGCUAGAGUGUGUCAGAGGGAGGUGGAAUUCCGCGUGUAGCAGUGAAAUGCGUAGAGAUGCGGAGGAACACCGAUGGCGAAGGCAGCCUCCUGGGAUAACACUGACGCUCAGGCACGAAAGCGUGGGGAGCAAACAGG
rnacentral:rRNA from 1 species